CUUAAGAAUGAUCUGAGAAAAUGGUCUAGCGGUGAUGAAGAGGAAGACAAAGAAGUGGGUUGGAAGUACCUUCAUGGUGACGUUUUUAGAUGUCCACCAAACAUGCCUCUGCUCUGUGCAGUUAUUGGUGCUGGUACCCAGCUAUUGACAUUGUUCUGCUGCUUAUUUAUAUUGGCGUUUCUUGGUGUCCUAUAUCCAUAUAAUCGUGGAGCUCUCUUGACAUCCUUGGUCAUAAUUUAUACCCUUACAUCUGCAGUUGCAGGAUACAGCUCUGCCUCCUUCUACAGUCAAUUUAUUGAAACUGGAUGGGAAAGGAGUGUUACUUUCUCCGCAGUGCUCUUCCUUGG
rnacentral:misc_RNA from 1 species